rnacentral:rRNA from 1 species
GAUUAACGCUGGCGGUAUGCCUAACACAUGCAAGUCGAACGAAGUCUUCGGACUUAGUGGCGGACGGGUGAGUAACACGUUGGAACCUACCCCGAAGUGGGGAAUAACUGGCCGAAAGGUCGGCUAAUACCCCAUAGUAUCCAGUUUAUCUGGAUUAAAGAUUUAUCGCUUCGGGAGGGGCCUGCGUCUGAUUAGCUAGUUGGUGAGGUAAAAGCUCACCAAGGCGACGAUCAGUAGCUGGAUCGAGAGGUUGACCAGCCACACUGGGACUGAGAUACGGCCCAGACUCCUACGGGAGGCAGCAGUGAGGAAUUUUCCACAAUGGACGAAAGUCUGAUGGAGCAAUACCGCGUGCAGGAAGAAGGCUUUCGGGUCGUAAACUGCUUUAUUUGGGAAGAUUAUGACGGUACCAAAUGAAUAAGGAUCGGCUAACUACGUG